rnacentral:rRNA from 1 species
AACGAACGCUGGCGGCAGGCUUAACACAUGCAAGUCGAGCGCAUCCUUCGGGGUGAGCGGCAGACGGGUGAGUAACGCGUGGGAACGUACCCUUUGCUACGGAAUAGCUCCGGGAAACUGGAAUUAAUACCGUAUGAGCCCUUCGGGGGAAAGAUUUAUCGGCAAAGGAUCGGCCCGCGUUGGAUUAGCUAGUUGGUGGGGUAAAGGCCUACCAAGGCGACGAUCCAUAGCUGGUCUGAGAGGAUGAUCAGCCACAUUGGGACUGAGACACGGCCCAAACUCCUACGGGAGACAGCAGUGGGGAAUAUUGGACAAUGGGCGCAAGCCUGAUCCAGCCAUGCCGCGUGAGUGAUGAAGGCCUUAGGGUUGUAAAGCUCUUUCAGUAGGGAAGAUAAUGACGGUACCUACAGAAGAAGCCCCGGCUAACUUCGUGCCAGCCGCCGCGGUAAGAC